AGAGUUUGAUCCUGGCUCAGAUUGAACGCUGGCGGCAGGCCUAACACAUGCAAGUCGAGCGGAUGAGUGGAGCUUGCUCCAUGAUUCAGCGGCGGACGGGUGAGUAAUGCCUAGGAAUCUGCCUGGUAGUGGGGGACAACGUUUCGAAAGGAACGCUAAUACCGCAUACGUCCUACGGGAGAAAGCAGGGGACCUUCGGGCCUUGCGCUAUCAGAUGAGCCUAGGUCGGAUUA
rnacentral:rRNA from 1 species